GAAAACCAUAUUAGACGAUGCUCUGUUUUAGUUUUUUUUCUCUAAAAUUCAUUUUAGAAUUUAAAUUUUGAUUGAAAGUGGGUUUCUUCAUUAUCAAUGAAUCCAGAUUUGGGUCCCUAGCAUUCGAAGUUGAAGAUUACUGAACCAUCGUUGCGGUCCCUGCUCUAUGUUCCUGGAUUAGGUUUCACUUUUCUCUUUUGUAUUUCCAUUCAAUUUGAGCUUGUUUACAUUUCUGCAAUUUACAUUUUCAGUUUACAAUUCUCAUUGGCUUUCUGUCCAUCUUAAAUCAAUUUCAAUUUACAUUUUCAUCAUGCUCUAUUCUACAUUCAUAGUCUUUACGUUUCUGUAAUUUACAAUUUAUUUUUCUGCCCUUUACAUUUGCAGUCAUUUACAUUUCCUGCAAUUUAUUUUUCAUCCAUUUACAGUUCUCGCAAUUUACUUUUAGACAUUAUCCCUUUCUUUUUCUGUCACACUUUCUAAGUAAAGCCAUUAGACAGUCUAAUAAGCAAUUGCUAACUAAAAAGUCUAACAGUUGUACUUGGUUUCUUUUCUACAAGUCAUUUUACUUUUCUACAAUUUAGUUUGUUCUUUAUUAGACGUUCUCUUUUCACUUUUCAUCUUUUGUAUAACUACUAGAUAGUCUAGUAGACGAUAGUCACCUAGAUGGUCUAAUAGUUGUACUUAAUCUUUUUCUUCACAUACCUUCAUUCAUAUUGCUCUUUUGUUUUUAGAGUAGGUUUAAUUUCAAUUUGAUUUAGAUUCUCACAGUCAUUUGGUACAGGGUUUUUAAGUGUCUAAUACAUUUUCUGUUUCAGUCAUUUACUACAAUUUCUGUUUCUAUUCAUUUUGUUCACGUUUCCAGUUCAGAAUAUUAGCUAAUUCCAGUGGAUUAUAAUUUGCCCUUUACUUUUCAAUUCUUUACAUUUCAAGUGUUGGUAGGCGGUCUAUUUGUUUCAUUAGGCAAUAUAUUCUAAACUUUGUCUUACCUUCGGAUCAUUUACGUUUCAAAAACCCAAAUUCAAAAUCUCCCCAUUUAACUUGUAAAGAAAAAAACAUUACACAAUGAAUUCAAUCAACAUGUUUUCUCUAAGAUUCGACCUAGGUUGACCCUAUACCACAUUAGAAGAGAAACAUAGAUUUUCUUUGAAAAUUGAACACAAUUGAAACAAUUAUCACUCCUCUUAUAAACAUGGGUUAAAGGCCCAACAAGCUGAAAGCAGAUUUUUUGGCAGUCAGUAAUGUAAUGAUAGGAACGGAUAGUCAAUGACAAUUAUGGUAGUUAUGUGUAUAAAAAUAACUACUCUAGAAAUUAGUUUUGUAUCAGCAACCAUGACCUCUAUUUUUAGCGAUCAAACUCUCUAAAUAAGGAAAUAAAAAUAAGUGGAAAAGAAUAGGAAAAUUCUGAAGAUACUUUUCCCUAAUCAAUAGGAAGAUAUGGAGGAUAAUUUUAUCCUAAUAAUCCACUAUUUACUGUAUCAGUCAUUGGUCAUCGUCCAAGCUAUGACAGUAAUAAUCAAGCUCUCUAACAUAAGGAAAUGAAAAUAUGUUGAAAUGAACAGGAAGAUUCUAAAAAUAUUUUCUCCUAAUCAAUAUGGAAAUAUUGAGGAUAUUUUUUUUGUAAUAAUCCACUAUUUACAACAUUACACACACUUAAUAGUAUGUCUAACAGCCUCUAAUCAAGACACGUCCAGUGUUCCUUUCAGCAGUUUUACAUAUCUAAUCAAUUAUUCAAAAAGAUAGAAAUCAUUCAAAAUCAUUUAUCAGCAUGCAAUUGUACUGACUAGACUAUUUGGCAAUUAGUUUUCGGUGCAUAAACUGAUUAUAUGACACAGAACUGUGUCAGAUUCAGGUUAUCUUCAUUUCACUAAGUCAAGACUAUCUGAACAACAAGCUGUAAAUCAUUCAACUAUUUCAUUAAAUAAUUUUGAGCUAUAAUAUAGGAACUAGGAACUUAACCUUAAGCCUAGCAUUGAUUAGAAUAACUGGUCUGUGUUCUGCUGCAUUGGUCAUGGCUCUUAGAUCCUGUAUUUACAACCUCAAACAUUAAAGAGAAAAAAGAGAGAAAAGCAUGGGAAAGUUGAAAAAGCAUGUAUAAUCCCUCAUGAAAAAGGGGAAAAAAGGGUCAACAAAAAUCUCUAAAAUAUAUCUGUAAAACUCCCACUGUAUUCACUUACAUCAAUAAUACAAUUCCCAACAGCAUUUUGAGGAGCCACCAAAAUAUACAUGUCAUCUUGCUCCUCAACCUCAGCAGCACCUGAGAUUGGAAAUUCAUGCAUAAAUAAGAUGCCAAAUAUAUUACAGCAGGAGCAAAACUAAUUUGUUGUAAAAAGGCAGAGUUAGAUAGAUAUUCUCAAUAUGAAGUUAGGAAGCAAAGAUCUCUUUCAAUCCGGAUUGCACAUAUGAAUGUUUUUCUUUUUUACAUUUAUAGGGCAUACAUAUAUGAUGGCCUGCAGUUAAUUCUGUGUGUGAAGUAAGCAUUUAAUGUAGGAAUUGCAAAAAGAAUCUGAACUUGACUUGAAAUAGAAUUAGAGAAAUGGAUGACAAAGCAAAUACAGAGAAGUAUAGUUAGAUAUUAAGACUUAAGUUAGAAUCUGGAAUACGAAAAUAUAAGGAGGCCUUUUGUACACAGGGAAUUUUCAGUUUCCUGUGAGUCUAGUUCGGAAAGCUUGUUUCCCAUAUUUGGAUUAUUUUUUAAAAAUAUAACAUUCCUAGAAAACAGUGUUUUCUUUGGAAUUUUUCCAGGUAUCUUUUCUGCAAAAUUGUUCCAAUGUGAUAAAUAGUAGUUUCUAGUAAAAAUACCAAUGUUACUUUUUAUACCAGAAAACUUUUAAAAAAAAGUAUUCUUAGGAAUAUUUAUGACUAACCAAACAUAUUUUACUUAUUUCUAGGAAUCAUAACUCUCAGGAUUCAUGAUUCCCAAGCACGGAAAAAACUUCCCGACUACCAAGUCCCUCCAAAAGGUGUGCAAUAUGUAAAUACAUCAGGGGCAUUGGAUCAAAA
rnacentral:lncRNA from 1 species